CCUAACCUAGCCACCUCUCCUCCUUCAGUCAUCACUCAACACUCAUCACGAUCAACAACCGAACCGCAUAGCCUAGCCGCGCCACCUGCCUUUCCUCUCUCUCCUCCUUCUUUCUUGGUUUCUCCCUCUCUGAUUCUCCUUCUUUCUCCGCCUCUCCUAGCCUAGUCAUCAGUCAUCACGAUCUCCAAGACUAGCCGCGCCGCCUGCCUCUCCUUUCUCUGAUUCUCCUUCUUUCUCCGCCUCUCCUAGACUUCUAGCCUAGUCAUCACAAUUGUCGAACGACCUCCACAAAAUCCGGCUUAGAGAGUCAGAGGCUUCUUACAUACAACGUGAUCUCGGCACUCGUUGAUUUGGUUUCUCCUUCUCUGAUUCUCCUUCUUUCGCCACCUAUCGCAGUCAUCACGACCGAACGACCUCUACAAAAUCACCGAGCUGCCAAGAGGUUAAAUCGACGAUUGUUCUAGUCUUCUAGCCUAGUCACUAGUUGCGAUUGUUCUGCUCUCAGUGCGAAUGUGCGAAGGAUCGUGCCACUCUUGUUAAGGCUCUGGAGACCUUUGUUGGAUAGCAUUCUGACAAAUUGGAAUCACCCGAGCUAAAGAAGGUUGGAAAAAUGGCUGCUAAAUUGGUGUAUUUGAAUUAGGACUUUCUAUUUCAUUGCAUAUUUGUAUUUUAAUUUGGACUUCGUAUUUAAAUUUGGACACUUUUUAUUUGAAUUGUAGCUUCAAUUGUUCUCGAUGAGUAUUUGAAUUUGGAUAUUAUGUAUUUUGAA